GUGAGUGUAGCUCAGUUGGUUAGAGUCCCAGAUUGUGAUUCUGGAUGUCGUCGGUUCGAGCCCGAUCACUCACC
rnacentral:tRNA from 1 species